UAACUAUAAGCCCUAAGCCCCUCCCACUCCCACUCCAAGCUCUGCUAUAUCUCAGCAUCUCCUUCCAUUUCCCGCCCCUCUCUGUUUCUCUUAAAAUGGCGGACAAGAAGAAACGUAGCAGACGAGCAGAUCCAACUUCCGAUUCCGACAGCGAUUCCCUCCCCUUCAAAAAAUCCCUUAAACCGGAUUCCGCCAUUCUAUCCACCCUCAAAACCCUAGCUUCCUCUUCCUCCUCCCAUCCCUCCACCUCUUCCAAACCCCUAACCCUCUCCUCCCUCUCUCUCUCCUCCACCUGCCGCGAAGUCUCCGACCUCCCCCUCUCCUCCGUCCAGUCCGAAAUCGAAACCCUAGCCCUUAACCUCGCUCGAUCCAUCCUCGCCGGAAACGGCUUCUCCUUCUCCGUCCCCUCUCGCUCCUCCGCCAACCAGCUCUACGUCCCGGAGCUAGACCGGAUCGUCCUCAAAGACAAAUCCUCCCUCCGCCCUUACUCCUCCGUUUCCACCGUCCGGAAAACCACCAUCACCACCAGAAUCCUCCAGCUCAUCCACCAGCUCUGCCUCAAGAACAUCCACGUCACUAAGCGUGAUCUUUUCUACACCGACGUUAAGCUCUUCCAGGAUCAGACCCAGUCCGACGCCGUUUUGGAUGAUGUUUCUUGCAUUUUGGGUUGUACUAGGUCUAGCCUUAAUGUGGUUGCAGCUGAAAAAGGGGUUGUUGUGGGUAGGCUUAUUUUCAGUGAUAACGGGGAUUUGAUUGAUUGCACAAAAAUG
rnacentral:lncRNA from 1 species